rnacentral:rRNA from 1 species
GUUUAGGGGUAAACCUGAGAAACCCGAAAGGUCGAAGGGAGAAAUUCAAUAGCGUGUCGCGGCCGGCGAUUUGUGUGCGCUAGACGACGGACGGGCAGCCUCGCACUUUUAUGUCGUGGUCUGUUUCGGUCGGUCGCUUCGCACGUUUAUCGAUCCGGCGGCGAUCGCGUGCAUUUUUCUUCUGGUAGGACGUCGCGAUCCGUUGAGUCGUCGAUCUAAGACGGUUUUGUGCGGUAGAGUCCGUCGUCGGGCGUGCGGCAGCGCGCGUCCGUCACGACGGAUCCGCCCGAUCCGAUCGACUCGCUCGACGGUAUAUGAACGGUCACGGGUCGCUCGUAGCGAGCGUCGGAGUCGCGGCAAGGGCGCCGUUUGUUCAAGGACGUCGGAACGUUUUCGAGCGUUUUCGGUGUCUUCCGGCGAUCGGGAUCCGUCCCGAUUCCGGGCCUACGGCGCGUUGCUAGCCGCGAAAUUAGAUCUCCGACAGACCCGCUCUCGCGUCAAACCGAGGACCGAUCUGCGACGCUUUAGCUUUGGGUAAUUUCAGGACCCGUCUUGAAACACGGACCAAGGAGUCUAGCAUGUGCGCGAGUCAUUGGGAUUCGAAUGUCGAAACCUAAAGGCGCAAUGAAAGUGAAAUCCGUACCUCGCGGUACGGAUAGGGAAGAUGGAGGACGUGUCGGCGGAUUCGGGUUUCGACUUCGGUCCGUCGUUCGUCGUUCCCCGCAUUCCCGGGGCGUUUCGUUCGUUUACGAAACGAGGCGCACCAGGAGCGUACACGCUGGGACCCGAAAGAUGGUGAACUAUGCCUGGUCAGGACGAAGUCAGGGGAAACCCUGAUGGAGGUCCGUAGCGAUUCUGACGUGCAAAUCGAUCGUCGGAACUGGGUAUAGGGGCGAAAGACUAAUCGACCA